rnacentral:rRNA from 1 species
GACGAACGCUGGCGGCGUGCCUAAUACAUGCAAGUCGAGCGGACCGGACGAGGGCUUGCUCUUGUUUGGUUAGCGGCGGACGGGUGAGUAACACGUGGGUAACCUGCCCGCAAGACCGGGAUAACUCCGGGAAACCGGAGCUAAUACCGGAUAACACCGACGACCGCAUGGUCCUCGGUUGAAAGGCGGCUUUUGGGCUGUCACUUGCGGAUGGCCCCGCGGCUCAUUAGGUAUGUGGGGAGGGAACGGGCCAACCAGGCGACGGAGAGUAGCCGGGCUGGGAGGGGGGGCCGCCACACUGGGACUGGGACACGGCCCAGGCCCCCACGGGGGGGCGCCGGAGGGGAACGUUCGCAAAGGGGGGAAGGCCUGCGGGGCGAAGCCGGGGGGGGGGAGGAGGGCCUCGGGUCGUAAAACUCUGUUGUGUGGGAAGGAAGAGCGGCGUACGAAGAGGUCGGCGCAGUGACGGUACCUAACGAGAAAGCCCCGGCUAACUACGUG